CUUGAAAAAAAAGUUCAGAUUUUUUGUAAUGUUGAAUUCUCUCUUAUUAUAAGUAAUAGGAUAACUAUAUUUGAUAUGUGCGUACCUUGCAAGGUCCUCAUGUCUGUCAGACAGUUUUCACUUGACCUCGACCUCAUUUCAUGGAUCAGUAAACAAGGUUAAGUUUUGGUGGUCAAGUCCGUAUCUCAGAUACUAUAAGCAAUAGGGCUUGUAUAUUCGGUGUAUGGAAGGACUGUAAGGUGUACAUGUCCAACUGGCAGGUGUCAUCUGACCUUGACCUCAUUUUCAUGGUUCAGUGGUUAUAGUUAAAUUUUUGUGUUUUGGUCUGUUUUUUUCAUACUAUAUGCAAUAGGUCUACUGUAUUUGUUGUAUGGAAUGAUUGUAAGGUGUACAUGUCUAGCGGGCAGAUGUCAUGUGACCUUGACCUCAUUUUCAUGGUUCAGUGGUUAUAGUUAAAUUUUUGUGUUUUGGUCUGUUUUUUUCAUACUAUAUGCAAUAGGUCUACUAUAUUUGUUGUAUGGAAUGAUUGUAAGGUGUACAUGUCUAGCGGGCAGAUGUCAUGUGACCUUGACCUCAUUUUCAUGGUUCAGUGGUCAAAGUUAAGUUUUGAGUUUUGGUCUAUUUAUCUAAUACUAUAUGCCAUAGGUCAACUAUAUUUGGUGUAUGGAAAUAUUUUAUGAUCUUUAUGUCAGUAGGGC
rnacentral:lncRNA from 1 species